CGCCACCGUCGCUCUCCAACGCCAGCGCCGCCUCUCGCUCGCCGAGCUCCAGCCGAAGGAGAAGGGGGUAAGUAAGGAGGUCUCUAUACCAUGGCUCGUACAAAGCAGACUGCCCGCAAAUCUACCGGUGGUAAAGCACCCAGGAAGCAACUGGCUACAAAAGCCGCUAGCAAGAGUGCGCCCUCUACUGGAGGGGUGAAGAAGCCUCACCGUUACAGGCCUGGUACUGUGGCACUCCGUGAAAUUAGACAUUAUCAGAAGUCCACUGAACUUCUGAUUCGCAAACUUCCCUUCCAGCGUCUGGUGCGAGAAAUUGCUCAGGACUUUAAAACAGAUCUGCGCUUCCAGAGCGCAGCUAUCGGUGCUUUGCAGGAGGCAAGUGAGGCCUAGCUGGUUGGCCUUUUUGAAGACACCAACCUUUGUGCUAUCCAUGCCAAACGUAUAACAAUUAUGCCAAAAGACAUCCAGCUAGCAAGCCGCAUACGUGGAGAGCGUGCUUAA